rnacentral:rRNA from 1 species
GACGAACGCUGGCGGCGUGUUUAACACAUGCAAGUCGAACGGAAAGGCCCUUCUUUUGUUGGGUGCUCGAGUGGCGAAAGGGUGAGUAACACGUGAGUAACCUGCCCUUGACUUUGGGAUAACUUCAGGAAACUGGGGCUAAUACCGGAUAGGAUCUCCGUCUGCAUGGUGGGGGCUGGAAAGUUUCGUCGUUUGGGGAUGGACUAGGGGCUUAUCAGCUUGUUGGUGGGGUUGUGGCUUACCAAUGCUUUGACGGGUAGUCUGCCUGAGAGGGUGACCGGCCACAUUGGGACUGAGAUACGGCCCAGACUCCUUCGGGAGGCAGCAGUGGGGAAUAUUGCAACAUGGGCGGCAGACUGAUGCAGCAACGCCGCGUGCGGGAUGACGGCCUUCGGGUUGUAAACCGAUUUCGCCUGUGACGAAGAGUGAGUGACGGUGAUGGGUAAAGAAGCACCGGCUAACUACGUG